UACGGAGGAUGCGAGCGUUAUCCGGAUUUAUUGGGUUUAAAGGGUGCGCAGGCGGUCUGUUAAGUCAGCGGUCAAAGCCCGGGGCUCAACCCCGGCCCGCCGUUGAAACUGGCAGUCUCGAGUUGGAGAGAAGUAUGCGGAAUGCGCGGUGUAGCGGUGAAAUGCAUAGAUAUCACGCAGAACUCCGAUUGCGAAGGCAGCGCACCGGCGCCCUACUGACGCUCAGGCACGAAAGCGUGGGUAUCGAACAGG
rnacentral:rRNA from 1 species